rnacentral:RNase_MRP_RNA from 1 species
CCAAAGGGCGGUCCUUUCGCGUCAUCGCUCCGCAUGGCAUCUCGUGGAGAAAGUCCCCGGACUUCA